rnacentral:rRNA from 1 species
GACGAACGCUGGCGGCGUGCUUAACACAUGCAAGUCGAACGGAAAGGCCCUGCUUUUGUGGGGUGCUCGAGUGGCGAACGGGUGAGUAACGCGUGAGUAACCUGCCCUUGACUUUGGGAUAACUUCAGGAAACUGGGGCUAAUACCGGAUAGGAGCUCCUGCUGCAUGGUGGGGGUUGGAAAGUUUCGGCGGUUGGGGAUGGACUCGCGGCUUAUCAGCUUGUUGGUGGGGUAGUGGCUUACCAAGGCUUUGACGGGUAGCCGGCCUGAGAGGGUGACCGGCCACAUUGGGACUGAGAUACGGCCCAGACUCCUACGGGAGGCAGCAGUGGGGAAUAUUGCACAAUGGGCGGAAGCCUGAUGCAGCAACGCCGCGUGCGGGAUGGCGGCCUUCGGGUUGUAAACCGCUUUCGCCUGUGACGAAGCGUGAGUGACGGUAAUGGGUAAAGAAGCACCGGCUAACUACGUG